rnacentral:lncRNA from 1 species
CCAAUUAACCCACAUUCACUUCCAGAACUCAACCAUCGUCUUCGUUAUCGCGCCACCACACUAACCUGCAACUCCCAGCAUCAACCACCUUCGCCUAAACCGAUCAUUACCUUACUUCCUAUCUACUGCGACCACAGCCCAUCGAUCUCCAACCCCCAACUACAAACCCGGUCUCCAACUUCAUCUCCUCUAACCUUAAACCUACUCCCUGUCGUUGCAACAUUGUUACAAGCCCCACCAGACUCAACCCGUCUUCAACCUUAGCAACUCAAACUCGUCUUUGUCUAAAUCGGUCCUCCUCCCAGUCACUGUCACCUCGAAUUCUACCAUCUCCAGCCAAUCUUCACCGUCAUUUUAGCCUCCAUCACCCCUAUCAACUCGACCACAAGAAACCCACCUUCUCUAACCUUCACUUCUCCUUUGACUCAUCGCCUUCUUCGUUCCCCAACUGGCUCUUGCCCACCAUGCAAUCUUUCGUACUGGCGUCCACUCUAUUACCGCUGAAGGCGUUGUCGCCGCCACUACCCGACCUUUUGUAACUUUUCGACUUCCCCAGCAAUGAAUUCCAAAAUCUGGGGAGGAAUAUUGCUCAUCUAGUAGGAUUUUGUUGUCUGGAUUCUGUACAAUUUGUACUCUUGAUUGAUUUUCAGUAAGAUCUAUGUUGCUAAAAGUUCCAAUUGCAAGCAAUCCUUAAGGCCAGUCACUGAAUUCUUCUUUCGGGGUCAUCGCCGUCGCCGUCGCCACCAACAGAACUAGAACCAUCAACCACCCAUGAGUAUUAUACUGUAGUAUUCCACGAGGUGUCAACUUAACAAUCAUAAUUGGGACACAUUUUGACUCUCUUGAGUCUUAUGAGUACAUUGCCAGCAACUUCAAGCUUUCGUGGGCACCACCUCUGCAAUUCGACAACAGGGAGUCCUUGUUCUCUGCUUAUUUUUUGUCUAUACUACUAUUCAUUUAACAUUGCAUCAUUUAAAUUCUGUGUUGCUGUCACCUUGAUAAUUUUAGCCUUAUCCCACUUGAUCAGAAUUAUUGAGCGAGUUGAAUUCUCAUUGUUUCCCACUUAUCCAUGUGAUAAGAGAAUUUGACUAGUAUUUGAU